ACAAGGAUUGAGUACCCACGAAGGCAACCUUGGGUUCCUUUCCCCAGUCCCCUCAGAUACGCGCCCCCUCUCUCUUCCACUUCUCUUGCCUUCCCCACGAAGGCUCCUCGAUUCUGCCGAGAUGUGGCUCGAGAUCCAGCCGGGAAAGAGAGAGCGAGCUGCCGCGGGCGUCCACGCUGCCGCACAAAGGGAACACAGACCUUCUUGGUUGUGGCACCCGACUUCUGGGCGAAUAGUUCACCCGCGGCUACUGUGGCGGCGGGGCCAACGACGGGGAGGACGACCAGCUUCCCCCUAUCCGUGGAGGAUGUCCUCCGGGGCUCCUCAACGCUCCUUGCAGCAGGCCAGGGGAGCAUCGUCAGUUGGAUCUAGGAGGAGCACUAGUGUGGGAUCCACCGUGGCCAGCCCGCGCUCAAGGGCCUCAACUUCCUCAACAAGACGACCGCCAGCAAGGACAACUAGAAGUCCGUUGAGAAGCUCUUCGACGAGAUGAGCGCCGACGGCCGCCUCCACCAGAACUCCGCCAAGUGCAUCGUUAGGGAGGAGGAAAAAAUGUCGUCUGGGAGGCGCGCAUGCAAGGAGGGAGGUCACUCUUAGUUCAUCUUCCUGUUUGCUCGGUCUCCUGAUGGCUCCUAUGGAGGUUGGUGUUAAGUGAGCAUGCAGUUUGUCAUUGUUCGUGAAUCGUCUGUUUAGUAUUCCUCUUUGCUUUGUCCGUGCUAAGCUUUAUAAUAAGUGCACUAUGGUAUAGUGACGACUUCCUAUGAGAACUUGAGGUAUCUGUGCGAUCGACGGGCUAACCCAUAUGAUAGGAUUGAUUGGAGCUGACAUAGAGGUUAAUUAAAUUAAUCUUUAGUUCUUCUCUUGUCAUAUUUUCAUCAGUCAACCUUAAGGCUUGGGUGGCGACAUGCAGAGGAACCCUGGGUACAUGUGAAGGGAGGCGCUGGGUGGCGAGUCCAGCAGCUAUUGUUGGGGUGGCUAUGUGAAGAAGAGAGGUUGGAAAGGAAGUGUUGGACUAACUGAUGCUAUGGGGAUGAAUCGGGGAGAUUAGAGGAGAGACAUUGUGAGAACUUUAGGCGAUGAUCGGUUGAAGAGGAUUUUUUUUCUAGCUAUGUGAGCCCAAGAUGUGUGAUGCUCAAGAAGGUAUGCGAUGCUAACACAUAUACAGAUAAGGAAGUGUGUUGUUAAUUUAGUGAACAGUGCCCUUCUUAAAAUAAACAUGUGGUGUCGCAGACAACUGAAGAGUUAUCACUUAUACUUCAGUCAGGUUUGUUACCUCCCUUGUUUGGAUCUUUAAAUGUUUCACCGAGGAUAUUUUAAUCCAUCAAGAACGUAUAGCUAGAUUUGCUGUCAUGUUAGUUAUAUGUUUCUCUGUUGUAAUUCUUCUAUAGGCUGUUUUCUGUGUCUCUGCGGGUGCCUUUUUGCUCAGAUGCUUUUUCUAUAGUGUACCAAGUGGAGUUUAAUUCUUCACCUCUCCACAUAUCCUCAUUUUCUUGAUUGUCCAGAUUGCUUGCCGACAGAUUAGAAGCAUGCCUGCCUUUUUGUUCCAUUUAGUUCCAUUUAAUCUUCCUGUUUUAUUUGAAUGAAUGUAUGGUUAGAGUACUGAAAUAUUAUUUUCUAUGCUUGGUAGAUCAAUAAGCCGCCACACGAUGUUACCGUGUGUUUACUGCUCCAUAGUUGAGUCAGUUUUGUGUGUAUUCUCUGAAAAAUUUCAACGCUGCCUUCAGAAAUAUUUUUAUGGGCUUACAUGUUAUAAUUUAGUAAGGGUUUAAGUACUCUAUUCAGAUCAGAUCAGUUCCUAUAUGGUCGGUUACACAAAGGAAACCCUAACUGAAAUUCAUUGAAAGCUUGGAGUAUCUAAAUUUCCUUGGAAUGGCAUUACUAUACUAAAAUGCUUGCCUUACAGCAAAAUAUGCAUAGACAGAUGUGGUAUAUUAGAUAUGUUGUAUUAGGCUACAACAUUACAUGAAAAUCCAAUUUUUCUGAUGUAGCGUGUGCUCCAAUACAUGCAACAAAUACAAAUGUUAGCAAAUGUAUUAGCAGGAUUGCCUCAGACAAUAAUAAAUCUAUGAAAAAGAUUAAUGCACUUCUCUCUUGAUGGAAUAACCGUGCGUCGAGGUAUAUGUAAUCAUCACCUUCAUGAUUUGAAGGUCCUUGCUGCUGUGGAACAGGGGGGCAGUUGAAGAUCAUCAGCAACUCGUCACAUGGCAACUCCAAGAUGCUUGCGCCCACUAGCUAUUGGUUUGGUGGGUCAUAUAUGGUUCUAUGAUGACAGUUUGAUCAAAAUCAUGUGGUCUUUAGGUUUAAGAAAAAUGGAUGUAAAACGACAAGGAAGGUCCUGAUCAGAUGUGGCGGCUCCUGCAGUUGGUGGUGCUCUGGGUGCGCAAGGGGAGCGCGACACAACCUCCGCCUGCUUAAGAUGUGCCACAGCCACGCCGGCCUCGGCAGCAGGCACAACGACUGGUUGCACUAUGGCGAACUAGAAUUCCCCUGCACGCACGUGCUCCAGUUUAUCCUCUGCAUCCCAUGCUUUGUCCGAGACACUCUCCCUGGCGUCUAUGGCAACAAUCAAUACUUCUGAGAUGCCGCGAGAGGGAUGUGGACUGCAUCGAGGACUACCACAAUGGCGAGCAAAACGAGUACGACCUGGAGAACCUUGACAAUGGGCGGAUGAGCAGCUGCUUUAUAGUGGCAAGUCCUCGUGGCUGAAAUACAAUGGCAUGGAGAGGUGCUAGAUACAGUCCUAAGAUUGCUUGUUUAUUUUCCGAGUUUGAUUCACUUUUGGACAAGCCACCGUAUGUGUAAUGCAAGUAGAUAGCUCAUUGCUACUCCCCUUUGUUUGUACUGUCACCUCUAAGGCUUUGGCUGUCAUUCAUUCAAAUAAUCCUAAGCUAUA